rnacentral:misc_RNA from 1 species
GAUGAAGAACGUAGCGAAAUGCGAUAAGUAAUGUGAAUUGCAGAAUUCAGUGAAUCAUCGAGUCUUUGAACGCACAUUGCGCCCCCUGGUAUUCCGGGGGGCAUGCCUGUCCGAGCGUCAUUGCUGCCCUCAAGCACGGCUUGUGUGUUGGGCCCCCGUCCCCGGUUUCCCCCGGGGACGGGCCCGAAAGGCAGCGGCGGCACCGCGUCCGGUCCUCGAGCGUAUGGGGCUUUGUCACCCGCUCUGUAGGCCCGGCCGGCGCCAGCCGACACCCAACUUUAUUUCUAAGGUUGACCUCGGAUCAGGUAGGGAUACCCGCUGAACUUAAGCAUAUCAUAAGCGGAGGA